AUGGCACAUAAUAGAGCCCCUGGCCCGGACAACAUUCCUGUAGAAUUUUAUCAGGUGUGUUGGGAUAUUGUGAAGGAUGAUAUUACGUCUCUCUUUGAACAUUUUCAUAAAGGGGAUCUAGAUGUUCAACGCCUUAAUUAUGGUGUGAUUACCCUUCUUCUUAAACCCGCAGGUGCAGACAAGAUCCAACAGUUCCAACCCAUUUGCCUCUUGAGAUGUUCGUACAAGCUCAUUACCAAGGUCCUAGAUAGGCGAGUCAAAAAAUAUGCUGAUAAGCUAAUCAACAGGACCCAGAAUGCUUUUGUGAAGGGGAUGAACAUCAUGGAUGGUGUGAUGUCUCUGCAUGAGAUUCUUAAUUAG
rnacentral:rRNA from 1 species